rnacentral:sRNA from 1 species
UAGUGUGGUGGCAUUUUAAAUCGCCUGC